rnacentral:rRNA from 1 species
UACAGAGACUGCAAGCGUUAUUCGGAUUCACUGGGCGUAAAGGGUGCGCAGGCGGCCGAGUGUGUGAGGCGUGAAAGCCCGGGGCUUAACCCCGGAAUUGCACCUCAAACUACACGGCUAGAGCAUUGGAGAGGGUAGCAGAAUUCAUGGUGUAGCAGUGAAAUGCGUAGAUAUCAGGAGGAACACCAGUGGCGAAGGCGCCGCUCUGGGCCGUGACUGACGCUGAAGAGCGAAAGCGUGGGUAGCAAACAGG